AUGCGACCCCAGGUCAGGCGGGACUACCCGCUGAAUUUAAGCAUAUCAAUAAGCGGAGGAAAAACAGACCGGUAGUCAGGGAUGGCGGUACAGAUGUCUGUAGCAACCCGUCUGAUGGUGAACUAUGCCUGAACCGGGAUGUGCCAGACCAAACUCCUGGGGAAGCAUGCCUGAUACUGAGGGCCAACCGAAACCCUUUGGAAGAUGGGGACCAAUAUUAAUGAAAAACUACGGGCUAGUUCCAAUCAGUUUCCAGGCGAUAUCAACACUAUUUUCCAGUAUCUGGCAAAUCAAUCUCUAGAUUGAAGACUUAAACAAACUUUACCUAGUCUAGAGAUUAACAAGCCCGACGGGCCGUACACCUUGACCUCUUUUCCAUUUUAAUUCUAUUAGCCCUUUAGGAUGUCGAGUUGGCGUUGCGGUUGAUCGAACUUCUGGUACGUUUUUGGAAGCAGCUCAUCGAUCCGA
rnacentral:rRNA from 1 species